GGUCUCGUAGUGUAGCGGUUAACACGCCUGCCUGUCACGCAGGAGAUCGCGGGUUCGAUUCCCGCGGGUUCGAUUCCCGUCGAGACCGCCA
rnacentral:tRNA from 1 species